GAUAAAGAACCCUCAUUCCUCAUCAUUCCCAAAUUUUUUAUUCAUAUUCAUUUUUUUCCUAUUCUUUUCUAAUGUUCCUCGAUGGUUACCGGUCACGACUUUAGUGAAACUAAUUAACUCAAGGUAUUUUUUUCAUGUCUGUUUUUAACAGUAACAAAUCACAGUAAUCACCAAAUAGACAAAAGUUAAUAAAAAGAGCUUGUAAAAGUUAAUAAAAAGAGCUGAAAUUUUAUAAAUAUCAACUAAGAUUCUAAGAAUAUUAAUGUUUCCUUGGUCACACAGGAAGAUCGAGGCAUACUCCACUCAGUACCAGAAGGUUUAUCAAAGAUAAAUACAAUAACCCUACAGUCUAUAUUAAAGAGAACGGUGAGAAUCUUUGUAUAGAUUUUUUUUCCUCUAAUAAAAUUUGGAUACGUUGUUAACUUUUAUUUGCUAUAAAUGAUUUCUAUAGGAAUUAAUGACUACGACGACGGUACAAAAUCACGAGAGGAUAUUCUCAAGGAUACAUUUAGGAUAAAGUACCACGAGGACCAUCUCGAACAACUCCACAAAGCUGUAAUGUAAAUACUGUUCAAUAAUUUUAUUAAAAAUUAGUUUCAAACAAACAUUUGCAUAUAUUUAUAAGACAUUCAUAUAUAUAUAUAUAUAUAUAUAUAUGAAAUUAUCAAUUCACAAAAAUCACAAAUAAUCAUAGAAAAUAUAAUGUUUAUUUUUGUAAUAUUUUUAAAGAUAAUGUUUUUAAGUAGAUGAAACAAUUUCACAUGUAACAAAAAGGAAAUUUGUCCUUUCAUAAUUUCAUUACACAGUUUUCUUAAUGAUUUAAAUACCUUUUUAAUCGUUAUAACAGGGAGGAUGGAUGUGACGUCAGAGGAUAUUACGCAUGGUCUUUACUUGAUAAUUUUGAGUGGGAGCAUGGAUAUUCUACUAGGUUCGGUCUGUAUUUUGUUGACUACGACAACAAUCUCGAGCGGUAUCCCAAAGAUUCCGUUAAAUGGUUCAAAGAAUUUCUCAGUAGAGUUAGCAAGAGUGGUCAGGAAAGAGAGGAAGAACAAGUAUGGGAUGUAACACGUGAGAGGUCAAGUCAGGAAAAGAAUAAUAAGACUCUUGACGAUCCAGAAGGUUUCGAGGCGUCAGUUAGCACGAUUAUGUAUCUCAUGACGAACGCAUCGAGAAGAAAAGAAGAAGAGAGAGAUCGUUGCACUUUCGAUAUUCCUUAUACUCGGUUGGGUUUGUUGUUGGGUUCCGAUGCUUUUUUUGGACCCUAGAAAAAUAUUUUGUUGAUAGCACUUUCGUCGCAAAACAUUAGUCGC
rnacentral:lncRNA from 1 species